rnacentral:lncRNA from 1 species
CCCGUCUCGGCCUCCCAAAGUGCUGGGAUUACAGGCUUGAGCCACUGCGCCUGGCCCAGAAACCUCUUUAAAAGGCAUCCCUCUUUGCAUUUUUGUCUCCACAAGGGAAGCUCAUUGUAACAAAAAUCAAACUGAAAGAAAGCAUUCCAGGAUUCCACCUCCAGAGGAAACUGACCAGGGAAACUGAAGCCUCGAGUGGGCAGAGCCACAUGGCCACACAGUGAGGCUGCGGCUGGAGCCUGGCUGCCGAGUCCUUGCCCUGAAGCUCCAGCAUCCCGCACAGCCUGGGGCUAAUCAGAGGAGACCAGCUUGUCUCCCCUGGGGGUCUUGCAGCACUCCAUGCCCCCACCUUGCCAGGAUGUCCAGGCAGCAGCAUGACUUUGUGACAACAGCUACAAGGAGAGAGACCUGAACCUCAGAUCUGCCACACACUGUGAAGCCUGGGCAGGUCUCUACCUUUUUGAGCUUCAGUGUCCUGGCCAAGAACACAGGUAGCAACAUGUUUCCCAAGGCUGGGAAGCGGUGCUGUUUCAGCAAUUGCUUAUUUUCAGGUCAGUAUGUGGGUCCCUCGUAAGGUGGAAUGACAGUUGCACCUUAAUUGAGGCAGUUGAGAGAGCUGAGCUCGGGGCUGGUCAUCUUGAUGGAUAGCUGAAUAGAAGGAUGGGUGGAUAGAUGGGUGGGUAGAUGAAUGGGUGUAUGUUUGGAUGGAUGGAUGGAUGGAUGGAGAGGUGGGUAGAUGGAUGGAUGGAUGGAUGGAUGGAUGGAUAGAUGAAUUGAUGGGUAGAUGGGUAGAUGGAUAGGUGGGUAGAUAGAUGGAUGGAUGGAUAGAUGAAUUGAUGGGUAGAUGAGUGGAUGGAUGGGUGGGUAGAUGGAUGGAUGGAUGGAUGAGUGGAUAGAUGCAUUAAUGGAUUUUCAUCCCAACAUUUAACUGAUGACCCAGAGGGGUAACCGGGGAUACUCGUCCUUGGCUUGUCCUCUAUGCUUCACUCCUCUCGCC